GAAGUGUCCCUUCAUAACGGAUUCUAGAAGUGGGUAAGCAGCGGAUCAUAGGCUGAUGUAUCGUGGAGGAAGUUUAUGGUAAGACCACGUAAGACAGAAUAUCGUUCGGCAGCUAUUAUUGGCUUAUCUUACCAAUUAGAUACAGUAAUAGCUGAUACAGGUUCACACAUAACCUGAUGUGUUAGAGACAACGACUAACUUCGAUUCACCCACUCAAGAAAAAACGUAUAUAAGUCUUAUAUAGGAGACAUAUCAAACUCCCUUUCCUGGUGGCUGAAAUUACAGCGUGCUCAGCGAGUAUAGCGAGGUGCAUCAUCGGCGCAUUUGAUUUUAACGUCAAUGCAUCAGUGACUAAGCAACAGCAAAGCGCCAAACAACAAUACUAACACAUUAAAUUUCGGAUUGAAUGAAAACUAAUUUGAAAUCGAUCAAAAACUGAAUUAAAGCAAAAUUUAAAUUGAAUUCAAAUGAAAUUGAAUUAUAAUUAAAAUAAAUUGGAAUUAAAUUCAAAUUCAAAUUAUUGUUGAAUCACAUUGAAUUGAAAUUAAAGUAAAAUUAAGAUCAAACUAAUUGAACAUUAACCUUAUAUUAAAAUAAAAUUAAAUUGAAAUCAUAUCAAUAAAAUAAAUUGUAGGACAUAAAGUUGGAUUGUAUUUCUAUUGUAAUAUUAGAGUAAAAUGUAUUCUAAAUCCUAUUAUAUUUAUACUGUAAAACAAUAAAAAAAGUGAGAGAAAACAUUCAACAUACAUUAUUUUCUAUUGUUUUGUCCCUCUAAAUCGUCCCAUUGGAGAACCGUUGAAUCAAUUGUUUUGCUCUGAAAAAUGUAUGGAAAAUUUUCGAUUUUUUUAUUGUAAAGAUACAUAACAACCCCCCUUUUUUAUUGUAAAAGUCCCAUUUACAGUUUAUUUUAUCGUGGAAAACCAUUAUUUUCUAUGUGAUUUAAUUGUUAA